UGGCCUGUUCCAUCAUUAGGCCAUGACAAUCAAGCUACUAAACCUAGACUGGCUGCUGAAUAAAGUUGAGCAUUUAACAAGUAAAGAAGCAAAUAUUUCCCUCAGGAGUUGUUGGAGACCAGAAACAGAGUCAAAAGGAGAGUGACUAUUGGAUUUACAUUCCUCAGGUUGAUACAAAGACGGCUCCAAAACAAUGGUUCGGGUCGUAUUCGUGGUAAUGUACAUGGCUUCCUGUGGUUGUCAAGCACCUCAAAGAUCAUGAAAGCGGAAUUUAUGUGUCGGUUAGGACCCUCCUCCUGAUUUUGGUGGGUAAAUGAUUCAUUCUUACCAAAAGUUUUGGGACUGGUCCAACAGAUCAUCUCAGCUGGCUACAACAACACAACUGCUAGAGCUGCAAAGUUACAUCCACUAAAAGUGUUGAGAUUGUUAAAAUCUUUUUUUUGUUUUGUCUCUCAAUGAAAGAUCUCACUCUGAAAUCUCACAAGAAGUGAGUUGUUGCAGUUUCUUCAUCUUCAUUCAGCUGUGACUUUGAACAUAAAUUAUUGCUGGCAGUUUCUCUCUUGGAAAACUCCAAACUCCUCUCCCACUCUGACUCAUAUUUCCUUCUGGAAUCAUUUACACACCAAAAUACUGAAGACGAAGAGCCUGUAUCAGGGUGUGUAUAUGUGUAUUAGCUCUGU